rnacentral:rRNA from 1 species
UGGGGAAUAUUGCACAAUGGGCGCAAGCCUGAUGCAGCCAUGCCGCGUGUGUGAAGAAGGCCUUCGGGUUGUAAAGCACUUUCAGCGGGGAGGAAGGCGAUAAGGUUAAUAACCUUGUCGAUUGACGUUACCCGCAGAAGAAGCACCGGCUAACUCCGUGCUAGCAGCCGCGGUAAUACGGAGGGUGCAAGCGUUAAUCGGAAUUACUGGGCGUAAAGCGCACGCAGGCGGUCUGUCAAGUCGGAUGUGAAAUCCCCGGGCUUAACCUGGGAACUGCAUUCGAAACUGGCAGGCUAGAGUCUUGUAGAGGGGGGUAGAAUUCCAGGUGUAGCGGUGAAAUGCGUAGAGAUCUGGAGGAAUACCGGUGGCGAAGGCGGCCCCCUGGACAAAGACUGACGCUCAGGUGCGAAAGCGUGGGGAGCAAACAGG